rnacentral:rRNA from 1 species
CCUACGGGUGGCUGCAGUGGGGAAUAUUGGACAAUGGGGGGAACCCUGAUCCAGCCAUGCCGCGUGUGUGAAGAAGGCCCUCGGGUUGUAAAGCACUUUCAGUGAGGAAGAACGCCUGGUGGUUAAUACCCAUCAGGAAAGACAUCACUCACAGAAGAAGCACCGGCUAACUCCGUGCCAGCAGCCGCGGUAAUACGGAGGGUGCGAGCGUUAAUCGGAAUUACUGGGCGUAAAGCGCGCGUAGGUGGCUUGAUAAGCCGGUUGUGAAAGCCCCGGGCUCAACCUGGGAACGGCAUCCGGAACUGUCAAGCUAGAGUGUAGCAGAGGAAGGUAGAAUUCCCGGUGUAGCGGUGAAAUGCGUAGAGAUCCGGAGGAAUACCAGUGGCGAAGGCGGCCUUCUGGACUGAUACUGACACUGAGGUGCGAAAGCGUGGGUAGCAAACAGGAUUAGAUACCCUAGUAGUC